rnacentral:tRNA from 1 species
CGGAAUGUAGUUCAGCCAGGCCAGAGCGCCCCCUUCGGGUGGGGGAAGUCGCAGGUUCAAAUCCUGCCAUUCCGACC